UACGGAGGGUGCAAACGUUGCUCGGAAUUAUUGGGCGUAAAGGGUAGGUAGGUGGUCUCGUUUGUCUGGGGUGAAAGCCUUGAGCUUAACUCAAGAAGUGCCUCAGAAACGGCGAGACUAGAGUUCUGGAGAGGGUCGUGGAAUUCCCGGUGUAGCGGUGAAAUGCGUAGAGAUCCGGAGGAACACCAGAGGCGAAGGCGGCCGGCUGGACCUGACCUGACGCUGAGGCACGAAGGCGUGGGGAGCGAACGGG
rnacentral:rRNA from 1 species